rnacentral:rRNA from 1 species
GACGAACGCUGGCGGCGUGCUUAACACAUGCAAGUCGAACGGAAAGGCCCAGCUUGCUGGGUACUCGAGUGGCGAACGGGUGAGUAACACGUGGGUGAUCUGCCCCUGACUUUGGGAUAAGCCUGGGAAACUGGGUCUAAUACCGGAUAUUCAUUGCUCCUCGCAUGGGGAUUUGUGGAAAGCGUUUGCGGUUGGGGAUGGGCCCGCGGCCUAUCAGCUUGUUGGUGGGGUAAGGGCCUACCAAGGCGACGACGGGUAGCCGACCUGAGAGGGUGAUCGGCCACACUGGGACUGAGACACGGCCCAGACUCCUACGGGAGGCAGCAGUGGGGAAUAUUGCACAAUGGGCGCAAGCCUGAUGCAGCGACGCCGCGUGAGGGAUGACGGCCUUCGGGUUGUAAACCUCUUUCAGCUCCGACGAAGCGCAAGUGACGGUAGGAGCAGAAGAAGCACCGGCCAACUACGUGCCAGCAGCCGCCGUAAAAC